rnacentral:rRNA from 1 species
CCUACGGGUGGCAGCAGUGAGGAAUAUUGGGCAAUGGGCGCAAGCCUGACCCAGCAACGCCGCGUGCAGGAAGAAGGCUUUCGGGUUGGAAACUUCUUUUAUUGAGGACGAAACAAAUGACGGUACUCAAUGACUAAGCCACGGCUAACUACGUGCCAGCAGUCACGGUAAUACGUAGGUGGCAAGCGUUAGCCGGAUUUACUGGGUUUAAGGGGCGCGUAGGCGGGACUGUAAGUCAGAUGUGAAAACCCGGGGCUCAACCCAUGACUUGCAUUUGAUACUGUACUUCUUGAGUGAUGGAGCGGUAGGCGGAAUGUCUGGUGUAGCGGUGAAAUGCGUAGAGAUAAGACGGAACACCAGUGGCGAAGGCGGCCUGCCGGACAUCAACUGACGCUGAGGCGCGAAAGCGUGGGGAGCAAACAGGAUUAGAUACCCCAGUAGUC